rnacentral:snRNA from 1 species
AUUCAGUAUUUGCUGUUUUGUAUUUCUGAAGUUCAUAUAAAAGUAUGUGUUCUUAUCAGCUUAAUUUCUGGUAUGAAUCCCAAGUGGAUUCGAUAGAAAUUUGCAUAAGUUUUUGAAAAAAUAGACAUUUGGUUGCGUGCUUGCACCGCCAUUUGUCGGGUCGCGGGUCGUCCUGAUAAUGCACUACAUUCAGGAACGGCCUAUGCUUC